rnacentral:rRNA from 1 species
CCCUUAGAUGUCCGGGGCUGCACGCGCGCUACACUGAAGGAAUCAGCGUGCUAAAACCAUUGUCGAAAGGCAUUGGUAAACCCAUUAAAAUCCUACGUGAUUGGGAUCGGGAAUUGCAAUUAUUUCCCUUGAACGAGGAAUUCCCAGUAAGUGUGGGUCAUAAGCUCGCGUUGAUUACGUCCCUGCCCUUUGUACACACCGCCCGUCGCUGCCCGGGACUGAGCCGUUUCGAGAAAAGCGGGGACUGCUGCCGUCGGGGCUUUCGGGCCUUGGCUUCGGUGGAAACCGCUUUAAUCGCAGUGGCUUGAACCGGGCAAAAGUCGUAACA